rnacentral:lncRNA from 1 species
UAAAGAGAANAGUCUCUCCUAAAUAAUAUAAAUAAAGCAAAAUAAAAACAGUUGCCUUUAUCUGAAAACAAAAGAACAUCCAAAAAAGAGAAAGAAAUGCAGAUUAUCUGCUAUUCAGAUUAGACAGUCAAUUCCUAUCAAGGAACACAUACAGUUUAUUUGCAGCUAAACAAAUAUCUCCAAACUUAUUUCCACAAAACAGACGGAAAUAAAAAAAUAAAAAAUAAAAAGCGAAAAAGAAGUCUCUUUAGUGCAUGUUUACAAAAUAUUCUGUGCAUAAAAAAAACCCCUUAAUUAGGCUGAACUAAAAUUAACCCCUAACAUUAAACUUACCUAUAUAACAGCUUGAUGACAGAAAAUUAUUGAGGUAAACUUUAGAUCAAGAAAUUAAUAAUUUUUUGACGUUUUCACCCUUAGUUUCACCUUUGGUUGCGCAAAUCCUCCUUCAGUCCAUUUCUUAUCAAUUACUCCACUAAAUGAACCUUUAUAUGUAAUUUCUAAUAAAAAGGAGGGUAAAAUCAUCUUCGUAUAAUUGUAAUAAUAUGCACACUACAAUCCCCUUCCAUCGUUGGGUUCCCAUCUCUACUGUUUCAACUAGUACCGGAAUCUCGCCUUCCUCUACCAGUGCUACCUUGACUUCCAAAGUUGCUACCAAUAGGCUCAAAACAAAAUUCGAUCUUUCUACAGAUAUGGUCAUUGUUGGCAUACCUUCCAAGGAGUUCUACCCCAAGGACUCAUAUUUCUGUCAAUAGUGCUUAUGAAAUAGUAAUCUAAUAUAACUAUUUCAUAGUUGGCUUGAACUUGUCGUCGAACUUAAUUCUUUAUUAAAAUCCCCACCAUAAGGCUUGAGAUAAUUACUUCACAUUAGGCUCGAACUAGUCGUUGAGCUUUAUUCUUUGUUAAAAUCACAACUAUAGGGUUCGGGAUAAUUAUUUCACAUUAGGCUCGAACUUCUUGUUGAGUUUAAUUCUUUAUUAAAAUCACAGCCAUAGGGCUCAGGAUAAUUAUUUCAUGUUAGGCUCAAACUUGUCGUCAAGCUUAAUUCUUUGUUAAAAUCCCAGCCAUAAGGUUUGGAAUAAUUAUUUCGCAUUAGGUUCGAAUUUGUCGUCGAGCUUAAAAUCCAAUUAAAAUCUCAAUCAUAGGGCUCAGGAUAAUUAUCUCACAUUAGGUUUGACCUUGUGGUCGAGCUUUAUUCUUUGUUAAAAUCCCAGCCUUAGAGCUCGGGAUAAUUAAUUCGCAUUAGACUUGUUCCCGUCAUCGACCCUACUCUUUCAUUAGGCUCAGACUUGUCCUCAAGCUUAAUUCUUCACAUUAAGAUCCGUUCCUAUCGUCGAAGGCCAAGGCCUCUUAAAAAUCCAGCCUCAGAGCUUAGAUCCACGCAUAUGACUUUUAGCUCGAACCUCUCGCUGAUCUUAUUUUUUAUUCUAUAACUAGUCAAGCAUAAUAAACCAUCGUCUAGAUAAACAUAAAUACAAAAUGUUAACAGGUUGUGCAUACCAGUGCUCAUUCAUUCAAAAAUAUAUAAAGGCCACACAAUGGAUAGGCAACAUACUUGGAAGUCGAAAUAAUCUUUACAUCAUAAAAAAGAUCUCGGGGGUAUAGAGCUUGGGAUGGGGAGUCAUAAUCUAAAUCUUCAUGCUCAAGGGCUGGCCCCUAACGUCAACCUC